rnacentral:rRNA from 1 species
GGCGUGCCUAAUGCAUGCAAGUCGAACGGGAUCUUCUUUGGAAGACGACCGUGGCGGACGGGUGAGGAACACGUAGCUAACCUGCCCGGGUGAGGGGGAUAACGGCUGGAAACGGCCGGGAAGACCCCAUAGUCUGGAUCUUAGGGAUGAGAUUCAGGAAACGGAUUUUCGGAUCUGCACCUGGAGGGGGCUGCGGCCGAUUAGUUAGUUGGUGAGGUAAGAGCUCACCAAGGCGAUGAUCGGUAGCUGGUCUGAGAGGAUGAUCAGCCACACGGGGACUGAGACACGGCCCCGACUCCUACGGGAGGCAGCAGCAAGGAAUUUUCCACAAUGGGCGCAAGCCUGAUGGAGCAACGCCGCGUGGGGGAGGAAGCCCUUCGGGGUGUAAACCCCUUUUCUGGGGGACGAAGCCAAUGACGGUACCCCAGGAAGAAGGACCGGCUAACUACGUGCCAGCAGCCGCGGUAAGACGUAGGGUCCGAGCGUUGUCCGGAGUUACUGGGCGUAAAGGGCGCGCAGGCGGUUAGUCGCGUCGGAUGUGAAAGCCCCCCGCUCAACGGGGGAGGGUCAUUCGAAACGGGCUGACUG